rnacentral:rRNA from 1 species
UCGAGGAUAUUUAGCAAUGGGCGAAAGCCUGACUAUGUGACGCCGCGUGAGGGAUGAAGGUCUUCGGAUUGUAAACCUCUUUCGAUGGGAAAGAAACUCCGCCAUGUAAUGUGGCGGACUGACGGUACCCAGAGAAGAAGCCAUGGCUAACUCUGUGCCAGCAGCCGCGGUAAUACAGAGAUGGCGAGCGUUACUCGGAUUUAUUGGGUGUAAAGGGCAGGUAGGCGGCUAUGUAAGUUGGAGGUGAAAUCCUGUGGCUCAACCACAGAACUGCCUUCAAAACUGCAUGGCUUGAGGCCGAAAGAGGAAAGCGGAAUUCCCGGUGUAAGAGUGAAAUCUGUAGAUAUCGAGAGGAACACCAGUGGCGAAGGCGGCUAUCUGGUCCAGUACUGACGCUAAGCUGCGAAAGCUAGGGGGGCAAACAGG